UCUCACCGGCGUUGAAGCCACUAAAAGGGAAGGGUGGAGGAGGAAAAGGUGGUCUUGCUCAAGGCCAGGGCUCCGAUAUAACACAUGUAGAGGAUGCAAUGGAAGUGGCAACAUCCUUUGCGGCAAUGAAAUUGAGCUGAUAAAAAAAAUAGUUUAAUAUUUCAGUGUAGACUGGUGAAAGCAUGGCGGUGAUGGUUCAGUCCCAACAUUUUGAUGUUUUUUAAUAUAUCACUUGAAUGAAACAGCUGAGGAAAUAACAUUUGGUGCUACAGAAGCACGACUAUGUUUUUUCUUUAUUAGCCACAAACAUUGUGUUACCAAAGAGAGAGGAGAAGUUUUUUCUUCUUAAAAUAUUGAUAUUUUUUUUGAAAUGGCUGAAGUUUAGGAUGUUGGUUUGCUUGACUAUACUGUAAGAAGACAUUGAAUCAUAUAAUUAAUCUGAUUGGGAGAUGAACCCCUCAUCUUAUGAAUCUUAA